rnacentral:rRNA from 1 species
UACGUAGGUGGCAAGCGUUGUCCGGAAUUACUGGGUGUAAAGGGCGUGUAGGCGGGAAGGCAAGUCAGAUGUGAAAUCCCAGGGCUUAACUCUGGAGCUGCAUCUGAAACUGUUUUCUUGAGUACUGGAGAGGAAAGUGGAAUUCCUAGUGUAGCGGUGAAAUGCGUAGAGAUUAGGAGGAACACCAGUGGCGAAGGCGGCUUUCUGGACAGUAACUGACGCUGAGGCGCGAAAGCGUGGGGAGCAAACAGGAUUAGAUACCCGGGUAGUCCCU